rnacentral:RNase_P_RNA from 1 species
ACAUAGGUUGCCUUAUCGCUUUCUUGAUAAAAAGAAAGAGGAAAGUCCGGACAAUAUAGAGAACCAUACUUCCUAACGGGAAGGGUCUUUAUUUAUAAAGAUACAGAUAGUGCCGCAGAAAAUAACCGCCAUUUUGGUAAGGGUGAAAAAGUGAGGUAAGAGCUCACUAGGUUUGAUAGUGAUAUUAAAUCUGGGUAAACCUUAUGGAUUGCAAGAUCAAAUAUACCAAGGUGUACUUUUGUACAAAGAGUUUCUCGCUCAAUCUUGGAGGGUAGAUUGCUAUUGACUAUAUCAGUGAUGAUAUAGCUAGAUAAAUGAUAAGGGUCCUGAUUAUAAAUCAGGAUACAGAAUCCGGCUUAUAGACUUUAUGUAAAU